AUUUUAAGGACUGAAAUGAAAAUAAAAAGAAGAAGAAGAGAAUGAGAAAAAGAAGAACGGAAGGAAAAAAAAUUGUCACCGUUUCAUUGCUAUUUUAAGAAUAAAAUAGUGAAAGAAAUCACAUACCUGGGCUUGAACUCGAUACUUAAACUUUGCUCUACUGCUCAAUGAUGAUUUGAAAAGAGACACCGUUUUUUAAACGUUGGCAGUCAAAUAAAAUAUUGAAAUGGUCGCUUCUCACUUCAAGCGCGCUUCUCGUUUUUUGGCAGAAUAGCACGCUUCAACAAACCUGCUAUGCUUCUCGCUUCGUUUAGGGCUGAAGUACGCGCUUUUCACAACACUGGUAGGUUAUUUUUAUUUUGUGGAUAAAUGCAUAGGCGUUAACAUGACAUUAGAGUAUACAAACUAUCUCUGAGGUGGUUUUCUAUUUAGUUACCUUUGUCCCAUGCAAGCCAAAACUGAUCGCAAAAAGGAGCUGAUUAACCUGCAAAUAUUACCUGGUGUAGCAGUACUGUUUUACUUCCCCCUAGAGCAAAGAUCACUCUCAAGAGCCUGAAAAUUACAAUUGAAUAACCAUUAUUAUAGCUGAACCGGGGAAACAUAUGCGAUAAUUUGCGGGAAAAAUAUGAUAUAUUAGUGUUGCUUGUAUACAGCUCCAUGUGCACCGCACCAUAAGUAACAUGAAUGGUGGAGCACAAUGAAGCAUCUACAAAUAUUUUUUCCACGAAUGCUGGCUAAUUAGAUUUCUUCUAAGGUAAUAAUUUAAGCAGAUAAACCAAUUCAGUUGCAAUCUAUAUAGGAAAAUACAAUUUUGAGGAAAAAGAGAAACCCGUUGUAGAAUUAUUGACAUGCAUGUAAGCAAUCAACAAAAAACAUCCCGAAAGAUGGACGGGUCUUAAAUUUUAUUCAAAACAGCAAAUAUGAAAAUCAGAUUUGCAAGUAACUACUAUAAAUUAACUUUCACUAUAUUCAUCCCAAGACAUAGCUAACACAUGCAAGACAUAGGAUAAUUCAGUCAAAAUCAGAGAAGGACAGAACCUAAAAUUAGAAGAUGAAAAUUGAAAAACAUAAAGCAUGAAUAAAGCCACAAUAUAGAGGAAGAUGAAGAACAAUCCUGCAAAAAUUGAAAUAGACAAAUUCUGGAAAAACAUUUGAAGGAACAAAAUUAGUGAAAAAAAGAAAGAGGGGGAAUAAGAAGAAUGAUUUUUAACACGAAUCAGAAAUAGAAGAAGAUGUAACAACGUAGAGGAAUAACAACAAUAAAAUCCAUUAAAGGUUUUAAUUUGGGGCUCAUUAGGCUUCACACAUAAGACCCAAUGUGGUCCAACCAUGCACCAGGCUGCCGUAUAAUAAUUUUAAAUAUAUACAGCCAAGCAUCUACUCUAAAGCAUGCAUCUACCAAAAUAUGUUACUAGCAUGUAUAGAAUCCAGCAAGCAAAUAUCAAAACCAAAAGAAGGAAAUCUAUCAUGUUCUCUUCAAACUAAGAAAGAAUAAAAUAUAUUUAAACCAGAAAUAGAGUAAUGGCCAGGAGGAAAAAAAAGCACCAUAAUGUUUUUUGUAUGAAACAAAAUAACUGACAAAACAAAAAUUGUUGAUCGCCCCAAGCAUGAAAAAAUAGAGAAGACAAAGUAGCCAUAAAGGUACUUACAAAACUAUGAAAUAUGUGAUUGACCACGCUCUUUUUUUAAGGCACCUGACAUUAAUAAUCUUAUCAUUAAGCUUCCUGAGUCUUUUUGCUUCUCCUUUUCAAGUUUCAAGAACAAAGUUAUAGUCUAUUAAGCAUCUAACGUUAGAAUCCAAAAGUGUAAGAUGUCCCAACUUGAUUGUAAAACAGGAACGAAACACAUGCAUUGCCGAGAAAAACAAAAGGAAGGUGUCUAAUUCCUUGGAACAUUACACAAUCAGUGUUCAUCUUCAGACAAUCCAAAAGGUAAGGCAUAAUUAU
rnacentral:lncRNA from 1 species